AUACGUAGGGGGCAAGCGUUAUCCGGAUUUACUGGGUGUAAAGGGAGCGCAGGCGGCCAUGCAAGUCAGAGGUGAAAACCCGGGGCUUAACUCCGGGACUGCCUUUGAAACUGUAAGGCUAGAUUGCAGGAGGGGUAAGUGGAAUUCCCAGUGUAGCGGUGAAAUGCGUAGAUAUUGGGAGGAACACCAGUGGCGAAGGCGGCUUACGGGACGGAAAAUGACGCUGAGGUUCAAAAGCGUGGGGAGCAAACAGGAUUAGAUCCCCUGGUGGUCCACGCCGUAAACGAUGAAUACUAGGUGUCGGGGCCCGGAGGGCUUCAGUGCCGCAGCCAACGCAUUAAGUAGUCCGCCUGGGGAGUACGUUCGCAAGAAUGAAACUCAAAUGAAUUGACGGGG
rnacentral:rRNA from 1 species